rnacentral:lncRNA from 1 species
GAAGCGGAAGCGGAGAGCGCGGCGUGAAGGUCACCCUGCUGAGAUUUGAUUUCUAAAGACGCAUGUUGCCUGAGCAAGAAGCCCGGCGGGGGAGGAGGAGGAAGAGGAAGGAAGACCAGGAGUCAGGAAUGGCUGUUUCUCAGGUAAAGUUAAUUCCUCAGGGAUUCUCCGUCUGUCCUUCCUGAGAUGCCCUCCUUUGGCCUCACUCAUCUUGUCAGACCCUGUCCCUUCCCAGUCACCCGGGGCCUCCCCUCAGGGCCUGUCCCCUCCACUUAUGACCCAGUGACCUGGAGCUUGUGAAGAGGCCCCCUUGGGCAUCGUCCUGGGCUUCACACCCGUGGACUGGAGACAUAGCGUCGGGCAGGGAUUGGGCCCCAUCUGGAUGCACAGUCUGCGGUCACCCAGGAUCAAGAAGCUGCACUCCAAAGUCAGGAGUUUUUGAAUCCGACCAGGAACCGUGAGAUUACAGGUUCAAUCCCUGGCCUCGGUCAGUGGAUAAAGGGUCUGGUGUUGCCGUGAGCUGUGGUGUAAGUUGCAGGCACAGCUUGGAUCUGAUAUUGCUGUGGUGGUGGUGUAGGCUCUAGCUCCAAUUGGACCCCUAGCCUGGGAACCUCCAUGUGCUGCAGGUACGGCCCCUAAAAAAAAAAAAAUAGAGGGGAAAAAAAAAGGUUUUUUUUUGUUUGUUGUUCGGGUUUGUUUGUUUGCUUGCUUUUAAUGGUUGCACCCACAGCAUUUGGCAGUUCCCAGGCUAGAGGUUGAAUCGGAGCCUACCCCACAGCCACAGCAAUGUCAGACCUGAGCCACGUCUUUGACCUGCGCCACAGCUCAGGGCAACACCAGAUCCUUAACCCACGAGUGAGGCCAAGGAUUGAACCCACAUCCUCCAUGGAUACUGUGUCGGGUUCUUGACCCUCUGGGCCCCGACGGGAAGCCCCCAGAUCCAUUCUUUUUCUGGUAUGUAUCUAGUUGCUCAGCAUCGUUUGUUACUGAGAAUGUCCUUUCCUCCUCUGUGUGGUCUUGGCACCCUCGCCUGUGCAUUUUGCAUCUUUCACGAGAUUAUUUCUGGUGUUCUCAUCUGUUCCGUUGGUUUAUGAAUCUGUGUUUAUGCCAGUGCCACAUGAUAUUGAUUACUUUGUAAUGUUUUGAAAUCUUAAAAUCAUGGCCUCCAUCUCAUCUCUCGAAUAUGUUGAGCUCAUCGGGUGAAGAGCAAGACUAAUGUCCAUGAGGAUGUGAGUUCAAUCCCUGGCCUCACUCACAUGCAGCACAGGUUGCAGAUGUGGCUCAGACCUGGCGUUGCUGGGGCUGUGGUGUAGGCUGGCAGCUGUAGCUCCAAUUUGACUCUUAGGCCAGGAACUAACAUAUGCUGCAGGUGUGGCCUUAAAAAAAAAAAAAAAAAA